GACGAACGCUGGCGGCGUGCUUAACACAUGCAAGUCGAACGGAAAGGCCCUGCUUUUGUGGGGUGCUCGAGUGGCGAACGGGUGAGUAACACGUGAGUAACCUGCCCUUGACUUUGGGAUAACUUCAGGAAACUGGGGCUAAUACCGGAUAGGAGCUCCUGCUGCAUGGUGGGGGUUGGAAAGUUUCGGCGGUUGGGGAUGGACUCGCGGCUUAUCAGCUUGUUGGUGGGGUAGUGGCUUACCAAGGCUUUGACGGGUAGCCGGCCUGAGAGGGUGACCGGCCACAUGGGGACUGAGAUACGGCGCAGACGCCUACGGGAGGCAGCAGUGGGGAAUAUUGCAGAAUGGGCGGAAGCCUGAUGCAGCAACGCCGCGUGCGGGAUGACGGCCUUCGGGUUGUAAACCGCUUUCGCCUGUGACGAAGCGUGAGUGACGGUAAUGGGUAAAGAAGCACCGGCUAACUACGUG
rnacentral:rRNA from 1 species